rnacentral:rRNA from 1 species
GGGGGGAGCAAGCGUUGUUCGGAUUCAUUGGGCGUAAAGCGCUCGUAGGCCGCUCUGUAAGUCGGGAGUGAAAGACCACGGCUCAACCGUGGAGACGCUUUCGAAACUGUGGAGCUUGAGGCCGGGAGAGGAGAUCGGAAUUCCUGGUGUAGCGGUGAAAUGCGUAGAUAUCAGGAGGAACACCCGUGGCGAAGGCGGAUCUCUGGACCGGUUCUGACGCUGAUGAGCGAAAGCUAGGGGAGCAAACAGGAUUAGAUACCCUGGUAGUCCUAGCUGUAAACGAUGGGCACUAGGUGUGGGGGGAUCGACCCCUUCCGUGCCGCAGUUAACGCAUUAAGUGCCCCGCCUGGGGAGUACGACCGCAAGGUUGAA